UGCAUACGAUUCUGUGGGCCCAAACCUAA
rnacentral:piRNA from 1 species